rnacentral:rRNA from 1 species
GACGAACGCUGGCGGCGUGCUUAACACAUGCAAGUCGAACGGUGAAGGGGUCUGCUUUUGUGGGCCCUGGUUGAGUGGCGAACGGGUGAGUAACACGUGAGUAACCUGCCCCCUUCUUCUGGAUAACCGCAUGAAAGUGUGGCUAAUACGGGAUAUUCUGGGUCUUUCGCAUGAUGGGUCUGGGAAAGAUUGUGCCUUUGGGGGUCUUUGGUUGGGGAUGGGCUCGCGGCCUAUCAGCUGGCUGGUGGGUUGAUGGCCUACCAAGGCGGUGACGGGUAGCCAGGCUGAGAGUAUAGACGAUCAUAAUGGGGCUGAGACACUGCCAAGACUCGUACGGGAGGCAGCAGUGGGGAAAAUUGCACGCUGGGGUCGAGCAUGAUGCAGCGCCGCCGCGCGAGGUAGGGAGGCCUUCGGGUUGUAAACCUCUUUCGCAAGUGAAGCAGGCCUGCUCCGUGUGCGUGGGUUGACGGUAGCUUGAUAAGAAGCGCCGGCUAACUACGUG